CUUCUUGGUCCAUAGUUAAUCUUUGGCUCUCAGAUUAUUUGCUUCUUCUUUUUUUCUUCUUUUGUUGUCAUUUUUCUUCGUUCUCUAUCUUUAACUUCCUCUCUCCUCCAGUCGCUCUCACCUUAAACCAGAUCGAAAAACAUACAAAACACCAAACAACCAAAUCUGAAUCGUACCUUCGCCAUCCGUUUCGUCUUCCUUCUCUCUUAGCCUCUCACAUCCUGCUUCAUUUCCUAUGAAACCAAUAUUGGCCCAAAAUCCGUAAUACCCAAAUCAAAAAACCUAACACCUCAGCCCCAAAUACCUCCUCCAAUCUCACUUGCUCUCUCGACUUCUUGCUUAGCAAUCAGUUGCUUGUCGCACUCGAUUUCUGUACUUGCAAUCGAAAUCUUGUGGCUCGUUAGAAAUUGAAAGGGGCUUCUGGGGCGGAAGAGGACUGUGCACAUUGGGUCCAAGAAAGCUGAGAGAGGUAGUGAUGGCUCUUCUAUGGAAGGAAGAAGGUCUGGCCUUGUGCAUGAGAGUUCUUCUUCACAGAUUCGAGUUUCAGCUGUCCUGACAAAUGGUGCAUAUCUUUUGAACGUCGAUUGUGAUCACUACUUCAAUAACAGUAAAGCUGUUAAGGAAGCAAUGUGUUUCAUGAUGGACCCAGAUUAUGGGAAGAAGACCUGCUAAGUACAGUUCCCACAACGUUUCGAUGGGAUUGACAUGCAUGAUCGAUAUGCCAAUCGUAACAUUGUCUUCUUUGAUAUCAACUUGAAAGGGUUGGAUGGCAUCCAGGGUCCAGUUUAUGUGGGAACUAGUUGCUGUUUCAUCAGGCAAGCACUAUAUGGGUAUGAUCUUGUUUUGACUGAGGAAGAUUUGGAACCAAACAUCAUAUUCAAGAGUUGUUGUGGUUCAAGAAAGAAGGGAAAGACCAGCAAUAAGAAAUAUAUUGAUAAGAAGAGGGCUGCUCUUAGUUAUUUUAAUUUGAGAUUCCAGGGCUCUUUAGAGAAAUUCAACCGAAGCUAUGAUGGAGGCAAGGGUUGUUGAUAUUCUAAAUGCAAUGGAACCACUUGCAUAUAGGAAAAUGGACUUUGAAGAAUUUUGUGCUGCUGCAAUUAGCAAGCAUCAAUUGGAGGCCCUCGAAGGAUGGGAGCAGAUAGCAUCUACUGCUUUUUAAUUUGAUAUUCCAGGGCUGUCAAAAGAACUGAAUCGACCAUUCCCAUUUUCAAUAUGGAAGACAUUGACGAGUUAAGGUGAAGGAAAUCAACUAUUAUCAAUUAAACCUGAAGCCUUUGCUGAACUGAAGGUGGAAGAAAUCAAGAAUGGGCGGUUGGUAAUGACCUCAAUGUUUGGAUUCUUUGUUCAGGCUAUUGUAACUGGAAAAGGGCCAGUUGAGAACCUCUAACCACGUUGCUGAUCCCGUGGCCAACAAUGCAUGGGCAUACGCUACCAACUUCGUCCUCGGGAAGUGAAGAAACCUAAAUUGCUGGCAUUUCAUCUGCAACAUUAUCCAAAGUUGUUAUUUUUCUGUAUCCAGUAAAAAGAUGCAGCUUCUUUUGC